rnacentral:misc_RNA from 1 species
CAAUGAGUGUUUUAUGGCACUCUUUAAAAAUCCAUAUCCACCCUGUGUGCAAUGUUUGUUGGGAGAGAGGCAACUCUUUCCCUUCACAAAUAUCAACCUAUAUCUUUAACAACAAUCGUCUGAUAACAUAUUAUGAAUAUACUUAUUUAAAAAACCCUAAAAAAAUAAUUCAAAAUA